CAGCCGCCGCGGUAAUACGAAGGGUGCAAGCGUUAAUCGGAAUUACUGGGCGUAAAGCGUGCGCAGGCGGUUAUAUAAGUCAGAUGUGAAAUCCCCGGGCUCAACCUGGGAACUGCAUUUGAGACUGUAUGGCUAGAGUGUGUCAGAGGGGGGUAGAAUUCCACGUGUAGCAGUGAAAUGCGUAGAUAUGUGGAGGAAUACCGAUGGCGAAGGCAGCCCCCUGGGAUAACACUGACGCUCAUGCACGAAAGCGUGGGGAGCAAACAGGAUUAGAUACCCCGGUAGUCCCUGUCUCUUAUAC
rnacentral:rRNA from 1 species